rnacentral:rRNA from 1 species
UACGAAGGGGGCUAGCGUUGCUCGGAAUCACUGGGCGUAAAGGGUGCGUAGGCGGGUCUUUAAGUCAGGUGUGAAAGCCCUGGGCUUAACCUAGGAAUUGCGCUUGAGACUGGAUAGCUUGGAGUGCGGCAGAGGGAGGUGGAAUUCCACGUGUAGCAGUGAAAUGCGUAGAGAUGUGGAGGAACACCGAUGGCGAAGGCAGCCUCCUGGGCCAGCACUGACGCUCAUGCACGAAAGCGUGGGGAGCAAACAGG